rnacentral:rRNA from 2 species
GUAUAGGCGAUAGAAAUUGAAACCUGGCGCAAUAGAUAUAGUACCGCAAGGGAAAGAUGAAAAAUUAUAACCAAGCAUAAUAUAGCAAGGACUAACCCCUAUACCUUCUGCAUAAUGAAUUAACUAGAAAUAACUUUGCAAGGAGAGCCAAAGCUAAGACCCCCGAAACCAGACGAGCUACCUAAGAACAGCUAAAAGAGCACACCCGUCUAUGUAGCAAAAUAGUGGGAAGAUUUAUAGGUAGAGGCGACAAACCUACCGAGCCUGGUGAUAGCUGGUUGUCCAAGAUAGAAUCUUAGUUCAACUUUAAAUUUGCCCACAGAACCCUCUAAAUCCCCUUGUAAAUUUAACUGUUAGUCCAAAGAGGAACAGCUCUUUGGACACUAGGAAAAAACCUUGUAGAGAGAGUAAAAAAUUUAACACCCAUAGUAGGCCUAAAAGCAGCCACCAAUUAAGAAAGCGUUCAAGCUCAACACCCACUACCUAAAAAAUCCCAAACAUAUAACUGAACUCCUCACACCCAAUUGGACCAAUCUAUCACCCUAUAGAAGAACUAAUGUUAGUAUAAGUAACAUGAAAACAUUCUCCUCCGCAUAAGCCUGCGUCAGAUUAAAACACUGAACUGACAAUUAACAGCCCAAUAUCUACAAUCAACCAACAAGUCAUUAUUACCCUCACUGUCAACCCAACACAGGCAUGCUCAUAAGGAAAGGUUAAAAAAAGUAAAAGGAACUCGGCAAAUCUUACCCCGCCUGUUUACCAAAAACAUCACCUCUAGCAUCACCAGUAUUAGAGGCACCGCCUGCCCAGUGACACAUGUUUAACGGCCGCGGUACCCUAACCGUGCAAAGGUAGCAUAAUCACUUGUUCCUUAAAUAGGGACCUGUAUGAAUGGCUCCACGAGGGUUCAGCUGUCUCUUACUUUUAACCAGUGAAAUUGACCUGCCCGUGAAGAGGCGGGCAUAACACAGCAAGACGAGAAGACCCUAUGGAGCUUUAAUUUAUUAAUGCAAACAGUACCUAACAAACCCACAGGUCCUAAACUACCAAACCUGCAUUAAAAAUUUCGGUUGGGGCGACCUCGGAGCAGAACCCAACCUCCGAGCAGUACAUGCUAAGACUUCACCAGUCAAAGCGAACUACUAUACUCAAUUGAUCCAAUAACUUGACCAACGGAACAAGUUACCCUAGGGAUAACAGCGCAAUCCUAUUCUAGAGUCCAUAUCAACAAUAGGGUUUACGACCUCGAUGUUGGAUCAGGACAUCCCGAUGGUGCAGCCGCUAUUAAAGGUUCGUUUGUUCAACGAUUAAAGUCCUACGUGAUCUGAGUUCAGACCGGAGUAAUCCAGGUCGGUUUCUAUCUACNUUCAAAUUCCUCCCUGUACGA